UACGUAGGCAGCGAGCGUUGUUCGGAAUUACUGGGCGUAAAGAGUGUGUAGGCGGUGCUCUAAGUUCGGUGUGAAAUCUCUCGGCUUAACUGGGAGGGUGCGCCGGAAACUGGAGUGCUCGAACGUGGGAGAGGAAAGCGGAAUUCCUGGUGUAGCGGUGAAAUGCGUAGAUAUCAGGAGGAACACCAAUGGCGAAGGCAGCUCGCUGGGACGGUACUGACACUGAGACGCGAAAGCGUGGGGAGCAAACAGG
rnacentral:rRNA from 1 species